GUUUCUGUAGUGUAGUGGUCAUCGCGUUCGUCUAAGACGCGAAAGGUCCCCAGUUCGAGACUAGGCAGAAACU